rnacentral:misc_RNA from 1 species
GAAGAUCAUUUCCUGUGUCUGCAAGUAAUUUCCUUCCCAAAAAUCUCUGCUUUGAAUAUGAAUGUAUCUAUCCUAUAGAAGUGUGACCAGCUGCUAGGGAGUGGAACUGUUAUGUGUUAUUAGCAACACGGUACCCUCCUUGUCAAGAGAGAUUAUGAAUUUAUGGUUAGGGCACAUAGCAUGAAGCGAAGCUGCAGCUCAACAAUAAUUACAGCCCUGGAACGAAUUUUUUGGUUAUUUUAAACUUUAACAAUAAAAGUUGCAAUGUUGCAGCAUGAAGCUGGUCAUUUUCUGGUU